rnacentral:rRNA from 1 species
UACGUUCCCGGGUCUUGUACACACCGCCCGUCACACCAUGGGAGCGGGUUUUACCAGAAGUAGGUAGCCUAACCGCAAGGGGGGCGCUUACCACGGUAGGAUUCGUGACUGGGGUG